UACGUAGGGGGCGAGCGUUGUCCGGAAUCAUUGGGCGUAAAGCGCGUGUAGGCGGCCCGGUAAGUCCGCUGUGAAAGUCCAGGGCUCAACCCUGGGAUGCCGGUGGAUACUGUCGGGCUCGAGUCCGGAAGAGGCGAGUGGAAUUCCUGGUGUAGCGGUGAAAUGCGCGGAUAUCAGGAGGAACACCAAUGGCGAAGGCAGCUCGCUGGGACGGUACUGACGCUGAGGCGCGAAAGCGUGGGGAGCAAACAGG
rnacentral:rRNA from 1 species